UACUGUGAGAGAAAGUUAGUGAAGGAA
rnacentral:rRNA from 1 species